GAAGCGUCCUCAGCGACGG
rnacentral:snRNA from 1 species